UAGGGAAUCUUCGGCAAUGGACGAAAGUCUGACCGAGCAACGCCGCGUGAGUGAAGAAGGUUUUCGGAUCGUAAAACUCUGUUGUUAGAGAAGAACAAGGACGUUAGUAACUGAACGUCCCCUGACGGUAUCUAACCAGAAAGCCACGGCUAACUACGUGCCAGCAGCCGCGGUAAUACGUAGGUGGCAAGCGUUGUCCGGAUUUAUUGGGCGUAAAGCGAGCGCAGGCGGUUUCUUAAGUCUGAUGUGAAAGCCCCCGGCUCAACCGGGGAGGGUCAUUGGAAACUGGGAGAAUUGAGUGCAGAAGAGGAGAGUGGAAUUCCAUGUGUAGCGGUGAAAUGCGUAGAUAUAUGGAGGAACACCAGUGGCGAAGGCGGCUCUCUGGUCUGUAACUGACGCUGAGGCUCGAAAGCGUGGGGAGCAAACAGG
rnacentral:rRNA from 2 species